rnacentral:sRNA from 1 species
CUUGAGUUAGACAGUGAAAGGAUUCAGAACACAUCCCUCUUGCUGGGGGUGGAUCUGCAGAAGCUCUGUGGGAGCUGUGGGGCUUGCAGGGGUGCUGGAGUUCUGAGAGGAGCAGAAAGCUGGGGGAAGGAAGAAGAGCAGUGCCCCAUCUUCAUCCAGGAGCAGGGCAGCAUCUGUGGACAGGGUGACCUUCGACGGGCUCUGCAGCUUCACUUCUGAAAUGUGAGACCCCUUCCAUGGAGAGACUGGAUUCUGUUGUCUUACUUUGUUAUGUUUUAUUUUGUUUUGAGUCAGGGUCUCACACUGCAUCCCAGACUGGUCUGGAACUACCUAUGCGUAGCCCAGGCAGAUGUGGCAUACGCAGCAAUUCUCCUGUCUCGGUGCCCUGACUGCUGAGCUUGCAGGCUGACAAUGAGUAGUCUGAGAGAAACGGAUACACUUAGCGGUCUGUCUGCUGACCACAUGACUGAGCUCUGUGCCUAACAACCUUGAGGGGCUUCGCAGUUGACAAAUGGCUCUCGUGCAGUGUCAUAACUCUCUGGAGGAGGUAUUUGUCCCCAUAAUUUACAGCUAAGGAAACUGAGGUGACUUACUCACCGCCAUAGGCAGGGACCAGUUAUCCACAACCCACAGCCCCACACUGAGAAGAGCUGGGCCCAGAAGCUGGGCUGAGAGAAAGAAAAAAAAGGCAGGGUGGUUGAGGGCUGGGCUCAUGGUAUCAAAAUCUAGGCUGAGGACUUGGGAAACCAGCAGGUAGGUCCUGGUUCUUACUGUCUCUUGCCCUCUGACCAAAGGACGGCAUAGAAGCUGAGAGGUAGCCCAGACCAUCUGUCCUUCAGGUGAAGUGUGUGUGUGUGUGUGUGUGUGUGUGUGUGUGUGUGUGUGUGUACAUGAGCACAAGUACCUGUGCUGCCUUUGCAUGUUUUAUGUGUGUGCACACCUGUGCAUCCUCAUGUGUGGGUGUGCACAUGAUGCCAGAGGACAACCUUGGACACCAUUCUUCAUGUGCUAACCACCCUGGUUUGUUUGAUUUUGUUUUUUAUGCAGAAUCUCCCAGUAACCAAUUAGGCUAGACUGACCGGCCAGCAAGACCCAGGGAUGGUCCUGUCUCUGGCUCUCCAGUACCUGGAUUACAAGUGCUCAUUACCACACCUGGCUUUUGUUUCAUGAGGGCUCUGGGGAUCACACUCACCCCCUGUUGCACAGCCAUCAUUUUACUAACAGCUACUUCCUCGGCCUCUGGACAUUCUGACACAUUGUUAAAACUGUUUCCGAGAAAAUAUGAUUUCCCAUCCCAGCUUCCACAUGUAUCCGGGCACACCCGGCACUCGGCAGCCGCUCACACUAUCUGCUAAUGGUGACCUUAGAGAUGAUCCCCGAGAUGGAAGGGCAUCAGUCCAAAAUGGCCACGCAGCAAAUACAAACGGUGUGCCAGACAACUUGUCUCGGUGACACCUGAAUCAAGGCAGUGACCUUGUGUCACAAAAGGAGCAGCUGCCAUAAAUAUCCGAAGUGGUGUGAAAUACCAGGCUGCUCUCCACAGCCUAUAAAACGGACAUAAAUGUUUACUUCAUACUAUAAUUAGAAGAGGGGCCAUGGGUUGCCAUAAAAACCUAAAGAUGGAUGUUAAAUCAACCACCUCCAAGGUAUCAUAAAUUCUGCCCGAGGUUACACGAGUGUUUAGUAAACACUGAUGAAAAUUUUACUUACAA